CGACGUUCCCUCGGUUUGCCUGGCCCUGGCACCGCUGGCACGGGCUCCCUGGAAAGCUGCAGUUCCGCUCUUAUAACACAGGGAGCAGGCUGGAGAAUUUAGAGCUGCGUCACAGAGCUCAGCGAGAGAGUGAGAGAGCAAGCUCCGUCGAUAGGUCUACCAGCAACAGCCCUGCUGCAGCAAGAGGGGAGAGAGGCAGCAAGAGAGGCAGAGAGGGCUCCAGAAAGAGAAGUAACACCAACACCAGGGACUGGGCUCCUGCCACCAUCCAGUGUCAUUUUAAGAUCGUAUUUGGACUUGGUUGGCGUAGGAGGCUUCGCCCAUUGACGAUGCUGGAGACCCGGCGCGCUUAAUCCCGCGGGGAGGGAGAGUGGGCAGACACCGAAAGGGUUAACGGAAGGGAAAUUUCUGGAACCUUCUAUUCUGCGGCGCUACACAGCGAGCGGAGGGCUGAGGACUGCGCAGAUGGUGCACGGGCAGAGCUCUUCGGUCCAGUUCGUCUUUCUCACGUACGGUGGAGAUGAAGGAUUUUCUCUCUCAGCCUGCAGCCAUGCAUGAGAUGUGUCUUCCUCUGGAAGCUGGUUUCACAUGGUGGCUUAGAUUUUCCCACUUCGUAUCUAGCACCAUUUGAAAUCAGUGUUCUAGGAGCAAGAAUUACAACGUGGGAGGAGAUCAAGCAGCUGCUAACUUCACAGAUGGCCUCUACUCCUUAAACCAGCACUUUUCCCCAUGCUUAUUUUUUUGCCAGCCAUCCACUUUGUAACAUCAUCUGAUUUCUAGACACUUAAAACAACCACUGUAUACACCCUCUCAAGCUAGGGCCACAACAGGAACAGCUUCCUUCAAAUGUAUUUCUACUUAAUAAACAAUGGAUAUGAGUUAAAGUUGUCCAGAGUAAAGUGAUCCAAAAGUUGCAUGAAAACCAACAUAGCACUUCUUGCAUCAGGCACAGUACACUAUACAUUAUACAGUCACUAGGCCCCUAAUGUUUAAUUUCCUAACUUAGAGCAAAUGUCCACUCUGUGCUUGGGGACUCUAUCACCAUAGAAUUAUCAUUCCAUAGCUCCCAGAGACUUGCUCUGCAAACACAGAAUUUCCCUCCAACAAUUCGAUCUCAGCAGUUAAACACAAAAGUGCCUUCAACAAUCAUGAUGAUGUCACACCGGUACACACAGAAUUCACUCCUUUUUCUAGAAUUAUUUUUUAAGUUGAUUGUUGGUAACUUCUAGUGGUAUGUCGGUAGACUUCUAUACCCUUGCAUCCAAGCCACUAAAAUGAAGCUAAACUAUUUUUUUGCUUGACCUCACUAUUGUCAAACGUUAUUAUACACAGAAAAGACGAUCGCUGUGCGGAUGAAGCAUUUGAUCAGAUCACUGAAUAGUCGUCUUUAAAGAAUGCAUAGCUGUCAUCUACGAGAGGAUUCUUCUCUGAGCCAGGAAAAUGUCUCUUACACAGGCUGACCGAUUUCUCUUGGUGUUCAGAGUCUCAGUUUUUGUCUAGCACCAUUUGAAAUCGGUUAUGAUGUAGGGGGAAAAGCAACAGUAAUGGAAAACUUCAUUCCCCCGCUCCCCAAAGUCCUUAUAAAUAAACACCUUCAAAAGCACGAUCUUGCUUCACAGACACGUAUGGUAUGCUUUUCUGUUCUCUGACCUGCAGUUACACCUACAGGCCGAACAUCCUGCACAAAAGGAGGACAGUCAGCAUCACGUUCAACUAGGAGGGAUGCUUAAAGAGAAAGUGAAGCAUCUCUUCAAACACGUAACUAAGAUUCUUCAACUCAAGCAAGCCAGGGCCCAUGUGUGAGAGCACAGCCACCUAACCUUCUGACCAGUUCUAUUCCAUGUGCUAUUUGUUUGCCUUAACCUGUUAUUGACUCAGAUAUUUUUUUCUUUUUAAAUAAAAAUGUGUGCUGCUUGGUAUUGG